ncrna:unclassified sequences malK-I RNA
CUGGUCGGAAUAUCGCCAAUCCACAAUAUGGCCUGUUCCGGCAAAAAAGGAGGAUAUAUCAACCCCGCAGGACUUGCGGUGCGGCACAGUGGAGACGUGCCGUAAUGCGGCAGCCAAGCCCGGCCGCCGUGAGAGAGCGCAUUGCGGAGGCAGCGCUGUCAGAGUCAGAAAAUUAUGGCA